AAAAACAAAUGUUGGUGGCCUCUUACCUUUCCUUUCCGGCCACCCUGAUUCUUCUUCCGUCAGAAUCAAAUUUGGUGUGCCCAUUCAGCGCCUUAAUGAUUGGCCUCUGACUCCGCCUCUGCAACUCCUAUAUACAACAAUGGUUAUUCAAUUUUUUCUCAUUUUAUUCUUUUACAGCUACAAGCCCUAGCUUCCCCUGCCGGCUUUUAUAUUGCAUCUGAAUCCAGAUGGAGCAACAAGAGGAUUCCAUGUCUGA
rnacentral:misc_RNA from 1 species